AUUUUACAGCAACAAUCAUUUUUUUUCAUGAACUGACUGGCAAUGAAUACUUUCUUAUAUGGAUACAAUCUAUUUCACGGUAAACUUUAAACUACAAUAGAAGGUAAUUAAAUUUCAGCCUAUCACCAGAAAAUUCAUUAACAACCUCCAACGCAAACAAGACCUUAAGAAAGCAAGAGAUGAAAAUUAACCUCAAAAAUCGGAAUCGGUGGUGUGAACAAGACCUCGACGGAAAAACUUCUACCUCGAACAGUUACCAUCGAACCAAAGAAACAGCAAUAAAACUCAAACAAAACUCCAUGACCGGAAUCAAAUCAAUUUCCAUUGAAAUCAGAAGAAGCGAAACUUUGAAAUUUAAUUGAACUCCACAACAAAUCCGAAAAUCAAAAUCAUCAUAAUGAAACUGAAGCAGUUGUGUAUCUCUGUGUGCUUUCGUGUGUGUGUUUCUGAUGAAGAUCAUUGUCGAAUUUUCGGCGAGCUUGGUGGAGGAGAUGAAGGGUCGCCGGUUUGGUAGAUGUGACAAAGAAGACGCUCUUCAGGGGGUUGGGUUCUUGGAGAAGAAGAUGACAUGGGGGAGUCCUUGUGCGCUCUUUAUUAAGAAGCCAUGGAAGAUGGCUUAUCUAAAGAAGAUGAGUCCAUCGAG
rnacentral:lncRNA from 1 species